GACGUAGGGGGCAAGCGUUGUUCGGAAUUACUGGGCGUAAAGCGCGCGCAGGCGGUCUUCCAAGUCAGUGGUGAAAGCCCGGAGCUCAACUCCGGAAUUGCCAUUGAAACUGUGAGACUGGAGUACGAGAGAGGUGAGUGGAAUUCCCAGUGUAGAGGUGAAAUUCGUAGAUAUUGGGAAGAACACCGGUGGCGAAGGCGGCUCACUGGCUCGUAACUGACGCUCAGGCGCGACAGCGUGGGGAUCAAACAGG
rnacentral:rRNA from 1 species